AGGAAUGGUGUGCAUAGGUUGACUGACCAACAUAGCUCAUGGUACUGGUCAACCUGUUUAUAAAGGAAUGGUGUGAAUAGGUUGACUGACCAACAUAGCUCAUGGUACUGGUCAACCUGUUUAUAAAGGAAUGGUGUGCAUAGGUUGACUGACCAACAUAGCACAUGGUACUGGUCAACCUGCUUAUGAAGGAAUGAUGUGGAUAGGUUGACUGACCAACAUAGCUCAUGGAACUGGUCAACCUGUUUAUAAAGGAAUGGUGUGAAUAUGUUGACUUACCAACAUAGCUCAUGGUACUGGUCAACCUGUUUAUAAAGGAAUGGUGUGAAUAGGUUGACAGACCAACAUAGCUCAUGAUACUGGUCAACCUGUUUAUUAAGGAAUGGUGUGAAUAGGUUGACAGACCAACAUAGCUCAUGAUACUGGUCAACCUUUUUAUAAAGGAAUGGUGUGAAUAGGUUGACUGACCAACAUAGCUCAUGGUACUGGUCAACCUGUUUAUAAAGGAAUGGUGUGAAUAGGUUGACUGACCAACAUAGCUCAUGGUACUGGUCAACCUGUUUAUAAAGGAAUGGUGUGCAUAGGUUGACUGACCAACAUAGCUCAUGGUACUGGUCAACCUGUUUAUAAAGGAAUGGUGUGCAUAGGUUGACUGACCAACAUAGCACAUGGUACUGGUCAACCUGCUUAUGAAGGAAUGAUGUGGAUAGGUUGACUGACCAACAUAGCUCAUGGAACUGGUCAACCUGUUUAUAAAGGAAUGGUGUGAAUAUGUUGACUUACCAACAUAGCUCAUGGUACUGGUCAACCUGUUUAUAAAGGAAUGGUGUGAAUAGGUUGACAGACCAACAUAGCUCAUGGUACUGGUCAACCUGUUUAUAAAGGAAUGGUGUGAAUAGGUUGACUGACCAACAUAGCUCAUGAUACUGGUGAACAUGUU